rnacentral:rRNA from 1 species
AACGAACGCUGGCGGCAUGCCUAACACAUGCAAGUCGAACGAUUGCCUUCGGGUGAUAGUGGCGCACGGGUGCGUAACGCGUGGGAAUCUGCCCUUAGGUUCGGAAUAACAGCUGGAAACGGCUGCUAAUACCGGAUGAUAUCGCGAGAUCAAAGAUUUAUCGCCUGAGGAUGAGCCCGCGUUGGAUUAGGUAGUUGGUGGGGUAAAGGCCUACCAAGCCGACGAUCCAUAGCUGGUCUGAGAGGAUGAUCAGCCACACUGGGACUGAGACACGGCCCAGACUCCUACGGGAGGCAGCAGUGGGGAAUAUUGGACAAUGGGCGCAAGCCUGAUCCAGCGAUGCCGCGUGAGUGAUGAAGGCCCUAGGGUUGUAAAGCUAUUUUACCCGGGAAGAUAAUGACUGUACCGGGAGAAUAAGCCCCGGCUAACUCCGUG